GUUGCUUAUAGUCUGGGACUGUAUUUCCCAAACUGUCUUGCAGAGAAAACAUAUUCCUGUAGUUAGUUCCUAGUUGCUUCUCUCUCUAAUCAAAUAUAUUUGGAAAAUGCUAUACAUAGGGUACAUCAGCAUUAAAAGCUCUGGGUGUUUGCUGAUGAAGAAUCCUGUUUAAUUUUAUUUCGCUCAGAUAAAUUUAGACAUACCUUUUGUGUAACACCUGUUAACAGUCCAAAAAACUAGCAUUUCUCAAACAAACAAUGAAAAAUGCUUUUCUGAACAUCUUUCCUAUUCUACUGGAGGAAGAAUUCAAGGAAAACCUUAAGAUCUUAGAUUUCCCAAAUAGGUUAUUGAAUUCAGAGCAUUUUAAGGAGAGAAUGUGUCUUCUAUAUUUGAAAGAGUUGUAUGUAAGUUAAAGUUAUGCAUUAUUAUCACUUCUUAUAUAAUUGAAUUUUAAAAUUCUGAAAUCCUACAAGAAAAGUUUAAAGGAUUGUCGUAACAGACCACCUUUCCAUGAAACUAUCACUGUGCUCCACUCGUUUCCUCCUAAUUUUGUAGGUCUCCAAGCGAGGUAAGGUAUCUAGGGUUUUGUUGUAAUUAACAAGAUCUCAGGAAAAUCGUAUGGUUGGUUGGCCAGCAUGGGUUGGAAACAGGAGUUCUCAUCCUUUUUCGGGGGGCCGGGGGCUUACUGUUUUCUAAUACCCUGACCUCAUUGAGGGAUUCCUGAUAGCAUCUGGCUCUGUCACUUUCCUGCUUGAAAUACUCUUGAGCAGCUGCCCCUCACAGCAGGGUGGCUGCAAGCGACUGGCUAGGGAUCCCUGUUGUAAAUGACAGCUGCAGGGUGAUUUUGGUCAUGGCUGCCAAGAGGCAGAAGUUGAGUGAAAACAUUAUAGAAUUUUAAUUAUUCACAGUGGCAGUGUGUUCAUGGCCAAACAAAGAGGGCACCAGUUGAAUACAGAAAAAAGAAACAUUGGAUCUACUUUCUCAAAAGCUUCGCUGAUGUCCUUUCAUGGCCAGAAAGUAGAAGAAGCAAAACAAAACUAAAGACACAUUGAAUAUUUCAGCCCCAGCUUAUUCUGCCUAGUUUAUCCAUCUUUGGCCUGAGAAACUGAAUAAUAGCAAUGCUGUUACUACUAAUAACAUCUACCAUUUAUGGAGCUCUUACCAGAUACCAGACACCACUGUCUAUAACCAUUAUCUGAAUUUUUCCUCCCAACACACUUAUGAAGUAGCUGCCUUUUUACAGAUGAAAAGACUGAGAUGCUGGGAGAUGUAUAACUUGCCCAAGGUCACAUAGCUAGUAGCUUGUGAGACAGAAACUCAAACGCAGAACAACUCACACGGGGCUAACUGGAAAGUCCAUACCAUUGACUUAAAGAGCAAGAAUAGUGGCUGUCAUUUAAAUAGAGAUGGCUCUUCCCAGCACUCUGGUCAGAUCACAGCACUAGUACAAGGUGGUAUUUCCAAGCAAAGGUGAACAACAGGAAAUGAACUUAGUGGUUGAAUUCCAUUUGUGGCUCCUAAAUUUCAGUGUGAACUGUGCCUGCUUUCCCCUUUAGUAAAUAAAGUUAAGAUAUUAAGUGACCUUCAUGGACAUGAAAAUAACUACCCAGCAUAUCCGAACUUCAUAGCUUCCUUUAGACUAAGGGGGCUUGGUUAUCGUUUGUUUCUGUAUCUUGAGCACCAUCUAGUCCCCUGACUGCACUGACUGAAAUGAGGAUCAGUCCAUCUCUAGCUACCCUGCAGAGGGACAGGUUUUGGGGAGUGGAAUAUACACGAGAAUUGGUCCUCAAGUUUGUGAAAUACAGUCAUUUGGGAGACAAAGCUUGGAAACAUCAUGAUUCCCAUGGAAAUGGUAAACCCUGUGAGGGAAAUGCAAUUCAGGUUCCCAUCCAUGUUGAAAGUGUCAUUAUUAGUGCCAAGAGGUGGAUUUCUUAGGAAUGCUUUUCUCUGUCAACACGCCAUAGGAUUUUCUUUAUGGCUGCUCAGAGAUUUUCUUUUCCUCUCUUUUAGAGAUUAAAAAGGGAUAUUAUUUUUAAAGAGCUCAGUUCCAGUGUGAGAAGUACAGUGACACCCUGUUCUCUUUCACAUGGCUGUCAGAGCAAAGAGAGCUGGGAGGCCAUUCUAUUCAUCUCCCAGCCACUAGAGAUGAGUUGAUGGAGGUAUGAGAAGGUCUUUCGAAGACCUUGUGACUGAGAGAUCAGAAAUUACUUCUCUGAGAUUGUGAGGUGAGGGGCUUGGUCCGGAAGUAAUUGUAUUUUUCUCAUCCUCACAGUUCUCACAAUUCAUCCUUAUUUCUUCAUUGCCAAGUUUUGACAUAGAAGUUUCUUUUUCGAUAAGCCUGAAUGCUCAGGGAUGUUGCUCACCAUUCUCACAGCAGCCAGUGCUAAGGUUUUGGUCAGUGUUUGAGAUAAACUUUUAUUAGAGUGUUUCCAUUAAGAUGCUUCAAGGCCAUUACAUCAACGAAUGAGACACAUCUAUCUUGUUCUGAUUUAAUUGCAGAAAGGAAGGUUGGUUUUAUAUGCUAUAAAGCUGCUUUCAGGGAAGACAGAGCUUCAUGUCUAUAGUUACAGAGUUUCAUUUUGUUGAAACCUUCAGUUUCUCUUAACACGGCUGAAAUUAUAAUGGCGUUUCACUUUAUGAGACUCCUGAAAUGGUGGCUACAGUCACUGCCUGGUUUACCAAAUUGACAAUGACAUGUACAAUAUGAAGUGCUAGGAGCGAGCUCAACUGGCUUCACAGCAGCAGUUCACAGGAUUUGCACGCUCUGCCUUAGGAGAUUGCUUCAUAAAGGUUCAUGCUGCUGCCAAGAGGAUUUCUCUCCCCUCCUUGACCAAGUUGCUUUUCUCCUUAACAACAGCUCCCUAGAGCUCACCGUCACCCUGGUUCUACAUCAGUGUUAAGUCCUUGACCAAGAUGCUCUGAUUAACUAACCACCUCUAAUUGCUCUUCUUAAGGCUUUCUUCACUCUCCUAGCCCAGGUCAGCUUAGUGUUGGCCAUUUGACAAAGAAUAGACCCAGGUAAAGAGAAGUCAGUGUCCUUACUUCUUCCUGCAUUCAGCCAGUGUGUUUAUCACUUCUAGUUCUAUCCAUGCCCUGUAGACUCUGAGAGGCUGAGCCGAGGCAGCCGCUGCUGCCACCACUACAUCCACCUUGAGCACCAUAAUGCUCCCUGACUGCGCUAAUUGAAAUGAGAUCAAUCAGUCCAUCCCUAGGCCAUUGGUUUGCUGGAACAGAUUGAUCCUUUUUUUUUUUUUUCAAAAGGAAUUUUUCACUUGAAAACCAAGUGAAGAGCAGACAAGUACCAAAGCACAGAACCUGACAAGUUUAAGACCUUUGUCCGGCCUUUUCCGCUUCAGAAUUAGUGUUUCCUAUUGGACUGGCCACAGAGAUCUGUUUCUUUGGAUAAUGUGAAAAGAUGAUUGCCGUACAUCAAGGGGGAAGAAUAUGGACUGAUAUCUGCUUAUACUCUCCCCACUUCCCAGGAUAACCUAGACAGGUAACCAGGAGCCCUGUCUCUGAGCUGACAGUUGGAGUAUUAUCCUCACCAUUUUUGGAUCCUUUCUGUUCAAAUAAAUGGACCAUUAAUUUGAAGCAUGGUAUUUUUGGAAGUUAAAUAAAUCUAUGGAACAGCGCUUAAAAUUAACAUUCAGAAUUAUUAUCAGAGGACCUGUUUUCCUCCAUCCGAAGUUUAUGCAUCAACAGACCAAUUGCAAGUCAUGAAAGGGCA
ensembl:lncRNA